rnacentral:rRNA from 1 species
UGGGGAAUAUUGCACAAUGGAGGGAACUCUGAUGCAGCGACGCCGCGUGAACGAAGAAGGCUUUCGAGUCGUAAAGUUCUUUUAUAUGGGAAGAUAAUGACGGUACCAUAAGAAAAAGCCCCGGCUAACUACGUGCCAGCAGCCGCGGUAAUACGUAGGGGGCUAGCGUUGUCCGGAAUCACUGGGCGUAAAGGGUUCGCAGGCGGAAAUGCAAGUCAGGUGUAAAAGGCAGUAGCUUAACUACUGUAAGCAUUUGAAACUGCAUAUCUUGAGAAGAGUAGAGGUAAGUGGAAUUUUUAGUGUAGCGGUGAAAUGCGUAGAUAUUAAAAAGAAUACCGGUGGCGAAGGCGAUUUACUGGGCUCAUUCUGACGCUGAGGAACGAAAGCGUGGGUAGCAAACAGG